GUGUCAGCAGCCGCGGUAAUACGAACCGUCCAAACGUUAUUCGGAAUCACUGGGCUUACAGAGUUCGUAGGCGGCGGAGAAAGUAGGGUGUGAAAGCCCUCGGCUUAACCGAGGAAUAGCGCCCUAAACUACUUCGCUUGAGGAGGCUAGAGGUGAGCAGAACAGAUGGUGGAGCGGUGAAAUGCGUUGAUAUCAUCUGGAAUACCGGAGGCGAAGGCGGCUCACUGGGACCUUUCUGACGCUGAGGAACGAAAGCUAGGGUAGCGAACGGGAUUAGAUACCCCGGUAGUCCUAGCCGUAAACGAUGAGCACUAGACCGGAGCUCUGCACAGGGUUUCGGUCGUAGCGAAAGUGUUAAGUGCUCCGCCUGGGGAGUAUGGUCGCAAGGCUGAA
rnacentral:rRNA from 1 species